rnacentral:lncRNA from 1 species
GGAGAAGGCAUAGUAAUGGACAACAUGAAGUACUUUUUUAUCAUGGUGGAAUUUCAAGUGAAUUUUAAGAGGAAACAAUGUGUAAGAAAGUGAACCUGCACUAUUACAUAUGUAAAGAGAGAGGGGGAACUAAUGUCUCUACUUGACCUGCUAGAAACAGUCCUUACAAAGUUCGUCCCUCAGGGGGAGAACCUACCUGCUAUACCUGAGAUGCAAACAUCCUUUAAAAGGCUUAUGGUAUUGAAGGCAUGGUUACUAGCUGUGUGGGCUCUUUUUCUGCCUAUGUCUUUGCUUUCUGGCUGCCGUGAGGCAACUGCCAUGAUGCUCUAUCUCAUCUCAGUCGCAUAGUAAUGGAACCAACUAACCGUGGAUUGAAACCUCUGAAACUGUG